rnacentral:lncRNA from 1 species
GCUUUUCUCUGAUUGCAGCGAGAGCAGGUGGUGCUUUCUUGCACUGUGAGAAGCACAGUCUGUUUCUUUGAUUUCAGAUGGGCUCCACAACUCGGGAGGGCGCUCAUCUCUCAGUCCUCUCUCUGCUGAGCAGUUACUGGGCCUAUCUUUCUCUCGAUGGAUAACAACCCUUGCGUUGCGGUUGCUAGAAGGCGGGACAUCUCUGCCUGGAAUAGGGCACCGUGGGAUGAAGGCUAUUAGGAGGAGAGUGGUCCUUGAGAAAGACCUAUCAUGAGAAGAAAGCACGAGGUGUGUUUAUCUUAGUACCAGCAGACAACAAGAACUAAACUUGAGGAGGCUUCUGAAGAGUCACUGGAGUUGGGUGCCUGAAAAUCUGCACUUGAUUAUUAAGGAACAUCCAGCCAGGCAUGGUGGAUUUUCGUCCCUUUAAUCCCAAUGCUCAGGAGGCAGAGGCAGGCAGAUCUCUAUGAGUUCCAGCCAGCCUGGUCUGCGUACACCUUUCUAGGCCAGGCAGGGCUACAUGGUAAGCCCUUGUCUCAAAACAAAAACAACGACAAAGGAGAGACAAGAGAGAGGAACAUCCAGUCACUGGGAAUCCUAGCACUUAGGAGCAAGAGAACUGAGUUUGUGACUGUGUAACAAGAAAUGUGCUUUGCGCCUUAACCCAUCACGUUCUGCUGGCUCUCGUUUGUCUGUUCUGAGCCAAUAUUCACAUUUCCUGGAAGUUGAAACAUGUACCUUAUAGACUGACACAGUGGUGACUCCUGACUCAGAGUUACUGAAGGAUGGGAAGAGAUCUUUGUUCUUCUAAACUCUAUGACUCUGGGUGUUUGUUUGUAUGUCUGUGAAUCAAUCGCGUGCACGCUUGGUGCUGAGGAAGGAAGGAAGGCCAGAAGACACGAAAUCCCCUGGAACUGGAGUUGCAGAUGGUUGUGAGUUGCCAUGUGGCUGCUGAGACUCAAACCUGAAUCCUCUGUAAGACCAGCCAUUUCUUAACUACCGGUUCAUCUGUCCAGCCCUUAAGAUUUAUUUAUUUGUUUGUUUCUUGAGACAGGGUUUCUCUGAGUAGCAGCUCUGGUUGGCCUGGAACUUACUUUAUAGACCAGGCUGGCCUUGAACUCAGAGAUCCGAGUGCUUCUGCCUCCCAAGUGUUGGGAUGAAAGCCAGAAGAUGUGUCAAAUCUCCUGGAGCUGGAGUUAAAGGUAGUUGUGAGCCACUUGGCAUGGGUGCUAGGAACUAACCUUUAGUUACCCAGUCAUCUCUCCAGCUCCUGUCUCUAAGCAACAAUUAGAACGUGCACACAGCAAAAUGGUUCCAGCUGCCUUUGGGAAACAGCUCAAAGGCUGAAAUACUGAUAAGUCGGAGUCAUUAAAUGGUUUAUGGGAAGAAUAAAGCAGAGUUAGCUCAAGU